ACCAAGGUGCCUGAUCAAAAGGGCUAUAAUGAUAUUAUAGUUAUGUAAUUAAAUUUACCCUUAGUU
rnacentral:tRNA from 1 species